AGUGAACGCUGGCGGCGUGCCUAAUACAUGCAAGUCGAACGGAAUUUAAAAGAGCUUGCCCUUUUAAAUUUAGUGGCGCACGGGUGAGUAAUAUAUAGCUAAUCUGCCCCUUGCUGGAGGACAACAGUUAGAAAUGACUGCUAAUACUCCAUACUCCUUUUUACCAUAAGAUAAAUCGGGAAAGAAUUUCGGCAAGGGAUGAGACUAUAUCGUAUCAGCUAGUCGGUGGGGUAACGGCCUACCGAGGCUAUGACGCGUAACUGGUCUGAGAGGAUGAUCAGUCACAUUGGAACUGAGACACGGUCCAAACUCCUACGGGAGGCAGCAGUAGGGAAUAUUGCGCAAUGGGGGAAAACCCUGACGCAGCAAACGCCG
rnacentral:rRNA from 1 species